UAAGUACUCCCUCCGUUCGGAAUUACUUGUCACAAAAAUGAAUGUAUCUACAACUAAAAUACAUCUAGAUACAUUCAUUUCUUGGACGAGUAAUUCCGAACGGAGGGAGUACAUU
rnacentral:pre_miRNA from 1 species